UUUUUUAAUUUUCCUUAAUAGUUUUCCAUUUCCAUUUUGGAUUCCGCUUUUAGGAUUUUGUCAUUUUAACGUUUGUUAUGAUGUGAAGUAACAGUUUUUAUGAACAACAGAUUUUUUUUUAUUUUCCAAAAUUCUCUUAACUAGAAUUUUGUUGCCUAUUUGCUGGCUGGUAUUCGUAGAAUCAACAUGUUGUAGAAGGUUAUCGUUUGGCAAUCGUGCGCGAUUCAACAAUUGAUAAAACUUUUCGUUGUAAUUCCGCAACGUUUACGUCGUGCACGCGAUUUUAGCAAGACACGUUCACUAGUACGCUCUUUUUUCACCGAAUAUCGCAAAAAAAUAUAUAUUAAAAAGGGGUGCAGCCCGAGGACUUCCCAGGGGGUCACCCAUCCUAGUACUACUCUCGCCCAAGCACGCUUAACUUCGGAGUUCUGAUGGGAUCCGGUGCAUUAGUGCUGGUAUGAUCGCACCCGUUAGAAUUCUCCAUUUUUAUUCCUAUAUUCCCACAUGUGGGUGGGACGUAGUGACAUUAACGUCGUGCAUGUGCGUUUACCAAGACACGUUCACUAGUACGCUCUUUUUUCCACCGAAUUACACAAAAAAUAUAAAAGGAGUUGCAACACGAGGAUUUCUCAGGCGGGUCACUGAUGCGGUUGAAGAGCAAGCGUGUCAGUUUAUGGAAGGAUUUGAUAGAUUUGAUCUAGUUUAUGGAAAGAUUUGAUCCAGUGGCAAUUUGGUAAUUUCUGUCAAGUUUGGAGUGUCACUUUUUUGCGUUUUCGGAGCCUAAUUUCAUUGGAAAUAGGUCAACGGUCAAAAGUCACGAGCGCUCUGCUCGUGAACUGCAGUAUUUUUUGGUCAAAUUCUAUCGGUUAGGCCUUCAAAAUUACAUUUUAUUGUUUUCGGGUUAAUUUUUUUUAAUUUUCCUUAAUAGUUUUCCAUUCCCGUUUUGGAUUCCGCUUUUAGGAUUUUGUCAUUUUAACGUUUGUUAUGAUGUGAAGCAGCAGUUUUUAUGAACAACAGACUUUUUCUUAUUUUCCAAAAUUCUCUUAACUAGAAUUUUGUUGCCUAUUUACUGGCUGGUAUUCGUAGAAUCAACAUGUUGUAGAAGGUUAUCGUUUGGCAAUCGUGCGCGAUUUAAAAAUUGAUAAAACUUUUCGUUGUAAUUCCGCAACGUUUACGUCGUGCACGCGAUUUUAGCAAGACACGUUCACUAGUACGCUCUUUUUUCACCGAAUAUCGC
rnacentral:lncRNA from 1 species